rfam:Meleagris gallopavo isolate NT-WF06-2002-E0010 breed Aviagen turkey brand Nicholas breeding stock chromosome 30, whole genome shotgun sequence.
CCUGCAGCACCAUGACGGUCUGCCUUGAAGCCAGCUUGCUGGUGAGGCAGACCCGAAGAUUUGGCGUG